CACCCUGACUUAAUGAUGAUUCUGGAUAUGAGUUUGUCUUGAAUUACUGACAAUCAUUUAUUCUUCAGCUUUAAUAUAAAUGCCACUCUUCCAAUAACAGAUCCAUUUCUGUAUCCAUAGGUGUUCCUCAACUGGCUGUUCUCACAAACAUUGACGAGGCGUGUAUUGAUACCAAGACAAAUUUAAGAAAUGUCUACAGGAGCAAAUAUUUAAAGAAAAAAAUUUCCCACUUGCAUUCAAGCUUGGGGAUUCCAAUAAACUACAUCCUUCCUGUGAAGAACUAUAGUCACGAAAUCCAGACAUGUUCAGAUGUUGAUACUUUGAUCCUGAGAGCUGUGAGACUGAUGAUUGAUUUGGGACAUGACUUCACGAACAAAGUGCUGAGAUGAUUUGGAGCCUGAGGAAAUAACAAGCAUGUAUGAUAAAGCCGCACAUCUUCAAGGAAUACAGGAAGAGACUGCUGAUGCAUUCAAGGUGUGCUAAGAGAAGUUAGACUGUCUGAAGCUAUUCAAGUCUGAAACAGCAUCUCAGUGCUAAACAUGAGCACCAACAUCCAGAAGACUGAUAUCAGCCUCCAUAUUUAUUUUUAAGUAGUUUUUUCAAAGAAGUUACAUGAAUGAUCAUUUGUUCCUGACACACAUUUCAGAGAUGAAUGGGUACUUUAGCAAUAACCCAAAUAACAUAUUAGAACAAUAAAUAGCAUUGUUGUUGAGUGUAUAUGUCUAUUUAUUAAAUAAUUUAGCAACAAAAAGA